rnacentral:lncRNA from 10 species
CCCAGUUUCAGGUAUGUCUUUAUCAGCAGUAUGAAAAUGGACUGAUACACAUGCCAUACCUAUAUUUCUGACUUACAAAAGCAUGAGCUAAUAAACAUGUGCUGUUUUAAACUGCUACGUUCAUGCUUCCUCUCAGUAUCUGAUGACAAUGAGAAAUGCAUUUGAAGAGAUAAACACUUCCCGAAAGACCAUCAUGAUAGGAGCUGAUACUCACAGAUGCCUUAGUGAAUGAUUACGUCUCAGGAUGCCAUAAGGAAUACACAGAAGGGUACAAUCUCAAGCCGUGUCUGUAUCGAGUGCUGGAGAAUAUGUGGACAAUAGGAACCAGCAUUCUCUUCUGUCAGGAGUAUGAACCAAAGUAGCCAAUCCAGAGUACAAUCUGACAUUGCUCAAAGAAAUUGAGAAUGCACAUUCCCAGGACCCAGCAAUUCACGUUUGAAAGAAGAUAUGAAUGCAGCACUGUUUAUAGUAAUGGGAAGUUGGAACAGCUUCCUGUAUUUCAGGGCAUGGCAGAUGGGCUUGGCCAUGAAAACUCCUUACCAGAGAACAUGAGUCCGUGGCUCUAAAAACAACUACAACCCAAGUACAGACACAAAGAGCCUAGUAUGAAGUCAGUUGCACAGACGCAGCCCUGGUAUACAGUGGACUCACAGCCUCUUGUUUCUAAUAAUUUCCCAGAACACCCGUGUGGUAAGCUUUUUGGUGGAACUGAUUAUGAUAAUCUGGAGUGAAGUUUAGAGUUUGAGUAAGAAAUGAAGUAGUGAAUGAGCAAUGGCAGCAGCAGCAAGUUCUGUGCUUCCCUCAGCUGAUUUCCAUUCAUGGGACCUGUUAUGUUAGGUAGACCCACUCUGGGGCUGCUUUCCAUCAUUCAUGCCCUGUCACGCAGGCUGACACCAGAUACUUUGAUAUGGUGAAGAAGGACCUAUUUAGGUAAAUGAAAUUCCCAAAGGUUUAUGAAUAUGGACUCUAGAAGGGGAGGAGAUCUUGUCCCCAAAUCUUUCAUUUGCAUAUCCUGCUAAACUUACCUGUCAUUAACAGUAUUCUAUCAAUCCUGUUAAUGUUGUAAAUGUUUAGCGUUCUAAGGUAUAUAUUGGUAAGUUCUGACAACACUGCUGUUCCAUAGUAAAUCUAACUGAUUUAAAAGCAGGAGUCAGAUAAUGGAAACAGAUCUGGAGGCAGGGUUUGAGGCCCUGCAAGUACAUAAAAGAAACAAUUAGGUAUGUUUCUUGGCCUGAUUUUCUAGGGACCAAGUAGGAUAAAGUAACCAUCGGGGGGGAUGUACAGAAUAUCAAACUUCUUAUCAUAAAAUAUUGACUUACCAGCUGCAGUAAGGUGAAGCUUUCUUAGACAUGGAAUUCUUAGAAUAGCCAUAUCUGGUCUCUUAAUAUCACCUAUGAGCCAUGUGUCAUUCAGCACAUUUAUAACAGCAUAUGGCUAAGAACAAGGUCUGGGAACAUGGUGCAGUGUCAAAUACAGAUACAUCAUUUACUAAAAGUUAAUUCUACUGUGCUGAGAAAACAUAUUUAAUGGGCAAUAUCUAUGUCCAAAAACAACUACUGAAUGACAGGCAAGCUUGAUUGGAAAGACAUAAGGCAGUACACAAAAGAAAAAUUGUAAGGACACAAGCAAGAGACCUACAGUGGAUGUGGUGUGGCUGUGGAAUGCUUGGGGGAAAAAAAUGAACGCAUAAUCAGUUUGAAGUAAUUGCAGUAAGAGGAAUGACUCAUUUUGAGCAAGGACAGCCUUUGAAAGAAAAGGAGUCAUAAACAGAGUUGGCAAUGAUUAUUAACUUCCAUUUGUAUGCUGCACAACACAUUCCAAAACACUUCCACAUGUUUUAUCUUAGUCGAAUUGGAAAACAAUCCUGAAAGUCAGAAAAAGCAGGUAUUGUUCUCCCUGUUUUGUAUGCAAGGAAAGGAAUGCAGAGAGGUUAAUUGACUGGCCGAGGUCACAUUGCUAGUUAGAGAACCAGCAAGGAAGAGAACCUAGGUUUCCAGAAUCUCAGUGUAAUGUAUUUUAACCACCCCUGGCUGCACACAGCAGUUUUGCUGAACAAAGAAAUUCUUCACUUAUGUACAGCUUAGAGAACCCUGGCGUUUUUAUCCAGCCUCUUCCUAUUAAUAACAAUGAUGUCAAUUUCACCCCUCUCCAGCUAUGAAAUCAUAUGACCCCAGAGGUCACUGGGUUCAUCCACCAUCACACAACGUUCACCAGCCCAAGAUCAAAUUAACCUUUUUGCAUUACUACCAAAAUGUUUACUCCUAUUCACCUUAAGGCCAAACAUACACUUCAUAGACAUGUAUGAUGCAUAGAAUUACUUAGCUUUACUUAGAAAAAUAGAAUCCUUGCUAAAGAACACAUUCCAAUUGCUUUACCUUGGUGGAGAGGAGACAUAAGAAGAAUAUGAGGUAAUUACAAUGUCUAUUAUGACCUCAGGCUAUAGGCCUUAAAACACCACCUUAAAAAUACAAAAGGAUAGUUGAUGUUUAUUUUCCGACCUAACUUGUAAUUUGCUAUAUUCCAUAUAUCUAAAUCAAAUUCCACUGCAAUCAGAGCUAGAAUUCCACAGCAAUCAAUGCCUGCAGUCAGGCUGGAAAAAAACAGUUGCAUUUGGGUGUCUAAUCACUACCUGUCAAUACCUGCUGUUGAACAGGAGUGGGCUCCACUUUCAAUUGUCAAACAAUUGAUUUUUCCAGGCGAUGUGGAUGAAGUGGACAAGAAAAGCUCCUGUGUUUUUAUCCACGACCCUCCUGCUUGGAACAACUGAACCCCAAAUCAAAAUAAUUUCACUCCACAUCCUAAUUAUAUCAGUUGUCAACAUCUCUAGCAUCAAAAAUAUCCCGUUUAUUCCAGUUCAGUAUGUCAAGCACAAGAAAAUAUAAUCACAAGUGGGAGCGAAAAGAAACAUGAUGUGAAUCGAGAGAGCUGUUUUGCAUGAGGCAAAACUGCACUGUAGUUUGCAUUCGAAUCUAUUUCAGCAUUUGAAGAUAUGCAAUUCUUCUCCUACAAGGGUAUUAUAAUUGAUUGUGUGAUUUGUAUAAAUAAAUGAGGCUUAAAAGAAAACCACAUGACUUAAAGUUCUUUCACUAGUAAGAAUAUGUGUAAUUUGUUCUCCAGUUGGAGACUUAGAAUACUGCUGGAAAAACCUAAAUUUGUUUAAUGUUCUGCCUCUUUCCUCAUUGGCUGCCUAAUGUUUUUAAUCUAUUCAGUUCAGACCAUUUCUGAUUGAUGGGCACCAUCAGAAUCUAGCUGCGGAUACAGCUUCCCUGCAAUCAAUAGCAGUGGGACAAGUCUUCAUGUUAUAUAUAAGAAUAUUCACAUAGUUCCUUUGCCAUACUUUAGCAAGGCACAUUUUCUUUUUCUUUAUUAAGCAAAAUCAAUUCCAUACACUUGUGUUUCAAAGUAAAUGGCAAGACACUAAUAUAAGUACUGCAGAGAAAAAAGCAAUACAAGAUAUGGCCUCUGAUUAA